AUUGAACGCUGGCGGCAGGCCUAACACAUGCAAGUCGAGCGAGUGGCGAACGGGUGCGUAACACGUGGGUGACCUGCCCUGCACUUCGGGAUAAGCCUGGGAAACUGGGUCUAAUACCGGAUAGUGUGGGCUGGGCCCGCGGCCUAUCAGCUUGUUGGUGGGGUAAUGGCUACCAAGGCGGGACGGGUAGCCGGCCUGGGAGGGUUGACGGCCACAGUGGGUAUGAGACACGGCCCAGACUCCUACGGGAGGCAGCAGUGGGGAAUAUUGCACAAUGGGCGCAAGCCUGAUGCAGCCAUGCAGCGUGUAUGAAGAAGGCCUUAGGGUUGUAAAGUACUUUCAGCGGGGAGGCGUUACCCGCAGAAGAAGCACCGGCUAACUCCGUGCCAGCAGCCGCGGUAAUUC
rnacentral:rRNA from 1 species